GUAGCGAGAAUUAUGUGGGAAUCAUAAUGGCCGAAAAUCUAAGGUUUCUUGGGGAAGGUUCGUCCGCCCAAGGUAAGCCGGGAGCUAAGGCGAGGCCGCAAGGCGUAGUCGAUGCACAUACGGUAAAGAUUCCGUAGCCGCCGAACUUUAAGUCAGAGGGACACUUGCAGAUAGCGGAACCCAGCCGUUGGUUGAGCUGGGCGAAAGGGACUGAAUUUAGUAGGGAAGUCCGCGAUGCUGAAAGGCGAGAAAAGCUCUGAUGGAUACUAAGGCGCCCGUACCGCAAACCGACACAGGUAGAUGAGGAGAGAAUCCUAAGGCCAACGGGAGAAGGGUUGUUAAGGAACUCGGCAAAUUGACCCCGUAACUUCGGGAGAAGGGGAGCCUCCUACGGGAGGCCGCAGUGAAUAGGCCCAAGCAACUGUUUACCAAAAACACAGGUCUCUGCUAAAUCGAAAGAUGACGUAUAGGGGCUGACGCCUGCCCGGUGCCGGAAGGUUAAGAGGAGAGCUUAGCGCAAGCGAAGGUUCGAAUUGAAGCCCCGGUAAACGGCGGCCGUAACUAUAACGGUCCUAAGGUAGCGAAAUUCCUUGUCAGGUAAGUUCUGACCCGCACGAAUGGCGUAAUGAUUUGGGCACUGUCUCAACAGCCCGCCCGGCGAAAUUGUAGUACUGGUGAAGAUGCCAGUUACCCGCAACUAGACGGAAAGACCCCAUGGAGCUUUACUGUAGCCUAAUACUGAAGAUCGGUAAUGCAUGUACAGGAUAGGUGGGAGCCAGCGAAACCCGGGCGUCAGCUCGGAUGGAGGCAACCUUGGAAUACCACCCUUGUAUUGCUGGUUUUCUAACCUGCGGCCAUGAAUCUGGUCGGGGGACACUGUUAGGUGGGCAGUUUGACUGGGGCGGUCGCCUCCAAAAGCGUAACGGAGGCGCUCAAAGGUUGGCUCAGCACGGACGGAAAUCGUGCAUAGAGUGCAAACGCAUAAGCCAACUUGACUGCGAGACCGACGGGUCGAGCAGGUACGAAAGUAGGAGUUAGUGAUCCGGUGGUAUGUGAGUGGAAAUGCCAUCGCUCAACGGAUAAAAGCUACCCUGGGGAUAACAGGCUGAUCUCCCCCAAGCGUCCACAGCGACGGGGAGGUUUGGCACCUCGAUGUCGGCUCGUCACAUCCUGGGGCUGAAUUCGGUCCCAAGGGUUCGGCUGUUCGCCGAUUAAAGUGGCACGCGAGCUGGGUUCAGAACGUCGUGAGACAGUUCGGUCCCUAUCUGUUGCGGGCGCAGGAGAUUUGAAGGGAGCUGUCCUUAGUACGAGAGGACCGGGAUGGACAGACCUCUGGUGCACCAGUUGUCGUGCCAACGGCACAGCUGGGUAGCUACGUCUGGACGAGAUAAACGCUGAAAGCAUCUAAGUGUGAAACUCCCCCUAAGAUAAGAUCUCCCAUCCUUUAUGGAGUAAGGGACGACAAAGACUAUGUCGUUGAUAGGUCGGAAGUGUAAGUGCAGUAAUGCAUUGAGCUGACCGAUACUAAUAACCCGAGGGCUUGACCU
rnacentral:rRNA from 1 species